GGUUAAGCGACUAAGCGUACACGGUGGAUGCCCUGGCAGUCAGAGGCGAUGAAGGACGUGCUAAUCUGCGAUAAGCGUCGGUAAGGUGAUAUGAACCGUUAUAACCGGCGAUUUCCGAAUGGGGAAACCCAGUGUGAUUCGUCACACUAUCAUUAACUGAAUCCAUAGGUUAAUGAGGCGAACCGGGGGAACUGAAACAUCUAAGUACCCCGAGGAAAAGAAAUCAACCGAGAUUCCCCCAGUAGCGGCGAGCGAACGGGGAGGAGCCCAGAGCCUGAAUCAGUGUGUGUGUUAGUGGAAGCGUCUGGAAAGGCGCGCGAUACAGGGUGACAGCCCCGUACACAAAAAUGCACAUGCUGUGAGCUCGAUGAGUAGGGCGGGACACGUGGUAUCCUGUCUGAAUAUGGGGGGACCAUCCUCCAAGGCUAAAUACUCCUGACUGACCGAUAGUGAACCAGUACCGUGAGGGAAAGGCGAAAAGAACCCCGGCGAGGGGAGUGAAAAAGAACCUGAAACCGUGUACGUACAAGCAGUGGGAGCACAGAGCAAUCUGUGUGACUGCGUACCUUUUGUAUAAUGGGUCAGCGACUUAUAUUCUGUAGCAAGGUUAACCGAAUAGGGGAGCCGAAGGGAAACCGAGUCUUAACUGGGCGUUAAGUUGCAGGGUAUAGACCCGAAACCCGGUGAUCUAGCCAUGGGCAGGUUGAAGGUUGGGUAACACUAACUGGAGGACCGAACCGACUAAUGUUGAAAAAUUAGCGGAUGACUUGUGGCUGGGGGUGAAAGGCCAAUCAAACCGGGAGAUAGCUGGUUCUCCCCGAAAGCUAUUUAGGUAGCGCCUCGUGAAUUCAUCUCCGGGGGUAGAGCACUGUUUCGGCAAGGGGGUCAUCCCGACUUACCAACCCGAUGCAAACUGCGAAUACCGGAGAAUGUUAUCACGGGAGACACACGGCGGGUGCUAACGUCCGUCGUGAAGAGGGAAACAACCCAGACCGCCAGCUAAGGUCCCAAAGUCAUGGUUAAGUGGGAAACGAUGUGGGAAGGCCCAGACAGCCAGGAUGUUGGCUUAGAAGCAGCCAUCAUUUAAAGAAAGCGUAAUAGCUCACUGGUCGAGUCGGCCUGCGCGGAAGAUGUAACGGGGCUAAACCAUGCACCGAAGCUGCGGCAGCGACGCU
rnacentral:rRNA from 1 species